GGAUAGGUGGCCGAAUGGUAAGGUACUUCCCUGCUAAGGAAGCAUGGGGUAACCCAUUGCAGGUACUCCUUUUGAGAACGCUAACGCGAACAAGUCCUGUCCUCUCCG
rnacentral:tRNA from 1 species